UCUCCGUUGGUGAACCAGCGGAGGGAUCAUUACCGAGUUUACAACUCCCAAACCCCUGUGAACUUUACCUAUCGUUGCCUCGGCGGACCGCCCCGGCGCCCUCGGGCCCGGGCCAAGGCGCCCGCCGGAGGACCCAAACUCUUGUUUCUUAUAGAAUCUUCUGAGUGGCAUAAGCAAAAAUAAAUCAAAACUUUCAACAACGGAUCUCUUGGUUCUGGCAUCGAUGAAGAACGCAGC
rnacentral:misc_RNA from 1 species